GACGAACUGUCCUACCGUUGUUCGGAAUCACUGGGCUUAAAGGGCGCGUAGGCGGUCCGACAAGUCAGGGGUGAAAUCCUGCAGCUUAACUGCAGAAGUGCCUUUGAUACUGUCGGUCUGGAGGGAGAUAGGGGUGUGCAGAACUUCCAGUGGAGCGGUGAAAUGCGUUGAUAUUGGAAGGAACGCCGGAGGCGAAAGCGGCGCACUGGAUCUCUUCUGACGCUGAGGCGCGAAAGCUAGGGGAGCAAACAGG
rnacentral:rRNA from 1 species